AGGCAGAGGAUGCGGAAGAGUGCAAAGUCGUGUUUGACAAAACAGCAGAAGAACAACGUGGUGAAGGCGGGGCUUGGAACGAACGCGACGCAUGAUAUUUAAAGGGGCGGAUCUAAGGUUGGAGUCUAGCCGUGGUCAGUUACAGGUCGACUUGUGAAAUAAAGUGCAAAUUUUCACUCGAAACCGUGUGACCUGUGAGUCAGUGACAGUGACCGUAAUUUGUUCACGAGACAAAAUGAUAAUAAAAGCACGUUAUUGGCGCAAAGUGGGGGGGGGGGGUAGGAGGCGAUGGGCUGCGCUAGCUUUAAACUCCAUAACUAGACGUCACAUGUUUCAUGUCGUCUUUAACUUUUUAGGUGCUGGAGGAAUUGAAGAAGCCAUUAACAGAAAUAAAUGAAAUGCUGAAAGGUGCGGCGCACGUAAUUUAAUGUUUGAAAACUUCUUUACAAAGUGUAUUUAUCGAUCAUAAUCCAAAUUGCCAACUCUAGGAGGGGCGGUUAAUACAAUUAGAAGUUUGGACAAAAAUCAUACUUCACAUUGCGAAUAUUGGAAAAUCCAAAUAAAUGUUAGGGAUUAUUCAGUCUCCCUUCUGGGAAGAAAACAUCAUCAAUUUCCAAAUCUGGAUUUAAGCCUGCACAGAAUUAAAUGCUUGGCAGCAGCAACUUUAUACAUCGACUUAACUACAGUUCUGCAAAAUAACAACUCCCUUUCCCUUUUAAAUCAAACCAUCCGACUCAAACUUCAUUCUCAACCCCAUGAUUCAUGCUGCCCUCUGGUUGCAUUCAUUCAUUUGUCAACGUUGUUCCUCCGUUUGUGCUGAAGGUGUUGGGUCAUGCUGAGGAUAGAGUUGCACAGUUAGCCGAUAAUGCGACCGUCCUUACUUAAUACAUUUUCUAGGCAUUGGGAAGUAGGUAGUUGGACUGUGCUGUUAUCGUCUGCCCCUCGCAGAGAAGUUUAUGCGAGGUUCAGGCAAAAUGACUCCUCCACAAGUCUGACAGGGAGCGAUUAGCUCGUAACGCCCCCAAGGCCCUGCAGAGAGAGAAAAAAAUCUGUUGCCAGAGUUUCGAAACAAGCACCAAAAUGUAGCCUGUAUGGUGGUGCAAACUACAAUGGGAGGGGUCUCUGCUUAACGACUUUCAGCCACAGCACUCUGAGAAACUGGAAACUUUAGAAACAGACAAAUAAGAAAUCCUCCUGCUCUAUAUUCCUCUGAUAUCUGCUUGAAACAAAACCUACUCCAUGUGCAUUUCAGACUCAGACACGACUAUCCUGAUUCUGGGUCUUUAGGAGGUGAAUGUGUCAAAGAGAAAAAAAAAAUCCCCCUGAGAAGAUUACUAAUCGCUGUGCACAUCAACUGCACUGCAUGGAACUGUUGCUGGGUUACUGCGAAUCAGAAACCACCAGCACUCUCAUAGCAGGUUAAGUGCAUCUAAUGG